rnacentral:rRNA from 1 species
UACAUGGGGUGCAAACGUUGCUCGGAAUUAUUGGGCGUAAAGCGCGCGUAGGCGGUUACUUAAGUCGGAUGUGAAAGCCCUCGGCUUAACUGAGGAAGUGCACCCGAAACUGAGUAGCUAGAGUACGAAAGAGGGUCGCGGAAUUCCCGGUGUAGAGGUGAAAUUCGUAGAUAUCGGGAGGAACACCGGUGGCGAAGGCGGCAUCCUGGACCGGUAUUGACGCUGAGGAGCGAAAGCCAGGGGAGCAAACGGG